rnacentral:rRNA from 1 species
GUUGUAUGGUUAAGUGACUAAGCGUACACGGUGGAUGCCUUGGCAGUCAGAGGCGAUGAAGGACGUAUUAACUUGCGAUAAGCCCAGAUUAGGUAGUAAAAACCAUUUGAGUCUGGGAUUUCCGAAUGGGGAAACCCACUUACAUAAGUAAGUAUCGUUAUGUGAAUACAUAGCUCAACAGGGCGAACCGGGGGAACUGAAACAUCUAAGUACCCCGAGGAAAAGAAAUCAACCGAGAUUCCGAAAGUAGCGGCGAGCGAAAUUGGACUAGCCCUUAAGCUUUA